CAUUGAGUUCGCCUUAGUGAGCUCCCUCGUGUGGGGCGCAGCUCUGUGCACUGGCUCUCUGAUGUCUCACACGUAACUGGCUCUCCCCGCUGCAUUUCUACAGAGAAUGCCAACAUCAAGCCAAAUCCAUCGACGGCGAGAUUGAGGCCUAUAAGAAAUCCAUCAUGAAGGAGGAAGAAAAGAACGAGAAGCUGGCGAGCAUCCUGAACCGGACAGAGACGGAAGCCACACUGCUGCAGAAGCUCACCACCCAGUGCCUGACCAAGCAGGUGGCCCUGCAGAGCCAGUUCAACACCUACAGGCUCACCCUGCAGGACACAGAGGAUGCCCUCAGCCAGGACCAGCUGGUGAGGCCGGGCCCGCCCCACAGGUCACACCUGGCGCACGGUGGUGCCUCUUCAGGCACGUGCACCCUGUGGCUCCUUGUCUCCAGGAACAAAUGAUACUCGCGGAGGAGUUGCAGGCCAUCCGCCAAGCCAUCCAGGGCGAGCUGGAGCUCAGGAGGAAGACGGACGCCGCCAUCCGGGAGAAGCUGCAGGAGCACAUGACCUCCAACAAGACCACCAAACACUUCAACCAGCUCAUCCUGAGGCUGCAGAAGGAGAAGACCAACAUGAUGACACAUCUUUCCAAAAUCGAUGGUGACAUUGCCCAGACCACCCUGGACAUCACACACACCAGCAGCAGGCUGGACGCACACCGGAAGACACUGGUGGAGCUGGACCAGGACGUGAAGAAAGUCAACGAGCUCAUCACCAACAGCCAGAGCGAGAUCUCCCGGCGCACGAUCCUGAUCGAGAGGAAGCAAGGGCUCAUCAACUUCCUCAACAAGCAGCUGGAGCGGAUGGUCUCCGAGCUGGGGGGGGAAGAAGUGGGGCCCCUGGAGCUUGAAAUCAAAAGGCUGAGCAAGCUGAUCGACGAGCACAAUGGCAAGGCGGUCCAGGCCCAGGUGACCUGGCUGCGCCUGCAGCAGGAGAUGGUCAAGGUGACACAGGAGCAGGAGGAGCAGCUGGCCUCCCUGGACGCGUCCAAGAAGGAGCUCCACAUCAUGGAGCAGAAGAAACUACGAGUAGAAAGUAAGAGCCGCCGUGCCCGGCCCUGCAGAGAUGCUCAGACGAGCUCUGGGACGCGGGCACCUCCCAGGGGAGGGGCACUCAGUGGGGCACAUCGCUGGAUUUGCACACAGCCUUAAAAGCAAAUAACAAAUGCGCAUGCUCCCUGUAUUUUGUAAAUGUGAACCACUGCCUGCCCAGCUGCCCAGUUCGCAGUCACAGCGGGAGGGUUGAGAAAUGUCACGAAAUGGCUGCAAGCUCACGGACUUCAGAGCUCUCCUUGAGAGAGGAGCAUGGAAGGUUAUCAUCCCUGCCAAGCCAGGGCACUCAGGUGGAAACACUGGCACGGGAAAAGCCAGGGUCCUGCCAGGCGGGCUCCUGGUGCUGUCCCCACAUCACCUCCAGUUGGGCUUAGAAAACCAUUCCACCGGGGCUCCCCAACCCUUCUGAGGCCCAAGGGGCUGCCAAAGAACCAGGGUGCCUGGAAUGAGGGAGGCGGGCAUCCUUCCUGGACCACUCUCCACCCACAUGGCCACCUGCCGAGACAUCCCGGGUCCUGCCCGGUCUUGGGUUGGGGAUCCAUGCUGGUCAGGCCUGCAGCAAAGCCCCCAUGGGAAAUGCUGCCCAGACACAUCAUGUGCCCUUCUCGGAGGUCCUGCUGCCUCUCGCCCUGCCCUUCUUGGGUUGCCCAAACCCGUCUGUUGGUGAGUAGCAAGUCCCAAAAGACCCUAUGGAGCUGUCAGCUGAGUAUCGGUGUCCCAAGGCAAGAGCUGCCGAAAUACCAUGCUGUGAGAUGGGGAGGAUCACCCAUGGAGAGGGCAGAGAGAGGGGCUCACAUGCCCAUGUCCUAGGGUAGUCAGGGCACACCAUGGGGACAGCAGGAGAUGCUGGAGAAGCCCUGUGAGGAGUGACCAGUGGAUGAACCAGCUGUGGCCUCUUGUGCCCUCCACCCAUCUUAACAUCAAGAAGAGCUGUUGUUUUCUGCCCCUACCCCUGAUCUUGGCUGGGGCAGGGCAGGGGUCUAAGGGCCUCCCUCUCCUGGAGACUCACAGUGUCUGAGCAUCAACCAGGUCCCCGUGCUCCACAGAUUUGCAAGUGUCUGGGGGAGGGAGCCUGGCCCUCCCACACACCCUGCCCACACCUGCUGGCUGUCCCCACAGGCAGGUCCUCUCAGUUCCGUUGGAGGACCAGGCUUUGGGAGCUUAGCAGCCAAGAAGAGACCCCCUCUCCUCUCCUCUGUCCUGGCAGGGACGAGAUUCAGGCAGGAGCGCCAGGAAUGACAAGAGGGAGGGGAUGAAGGGAGCUACAGGGAGAGACAAACCCUGGCUCACCUCUCGGACACUGCUGCCUGCGGGUGAGGACCCAUACCCUCCCGGGGUCUCUCCCCGAGUCUCUGUUUUCUGCCGUAGGCAAGAUUGAGCAGGAGAAGAAGGAGCAGAAGGAGAUCGAGCACCACAUGAAGAACCUGGACAACGACCUGAAGAAGCUCAACAUGUUGAUGAAUAAAAACCGGCGUGGCUCGGAGGAGCUGGAGCAGAACAACCGGGCGACAGAGAAUGAGUUCGUGCGCUCGCUGAAGGUCCGGCCGUGUCCACGCAGUCCCGGGGCUCAGGACGAUGGAGGGCGGGGGUACGGUCCUUGCGGUGGGCGUUCUGCACCAGGACGUAAUUUCCACACCCGUUCAAGAUGCUUGUAGGGGUAUUAGAAAUCCAGCCUGCAGCCCUGCCCUCGGUGCCAGGACAGAGGGCACCAGCCCCGGCAUCCACAAUCCCAUGGCCCUCCCCACAGCUGUCCCGCCCCCUCCCCCAUGCAGGCCUCUGAGAGGGAGACCAUCAAGAUGCAGGACAAGCUGAACCAGCUCAGCGAGGAGAAGGCGACCCUCCUGAAUCAACUGGUGGAAGCAGAACACCAGAUUAUGCUUUGGGAGAAAAAAAUCCAACUGGCAAAAGAGAUGCGUUCCUCAGUGGAUUCCGAGAUCGGCCAGACGGAGAUCCGGGCCAUGAAGGGCGAGAUCCACAGGAUGAAGGUCAGGCUCGGGCAGCUGCUGAAGCAGCAGGAGAAGAUGAUCCGUGCCAUGGAGUUGGCGGUUGCCCGCAGAGAGACCGUCACCACCCAGGCCGAGGGGCAGCGCAAGAUGGACAGGAAGGCGCUCACCCGCACCGACUUCCACCACAAGCAGCUUGAGCUGCGCCGGAAAAUCAGGGACGUUCGCAAGGCCACCGACGAGUGCACCAAAACCGUCCUGGAACUGGAAGAAACACAAAGAAAUGUGAGCAGCUCCCUCCUAGAGAAGCAGGAAAAGCUGUCGGUGAUUCAGGCAGACUUCGACACACUCGAGGCCAACCUCACCCGGCUUGGGGCCCUCAAACAACAGGUAAAUGUGUCCCAGGAGGUCCCUGGGGAUGAAGGCCAUGGAACGUGCCACUCACACAGAGGUCCUGCGUCCCCUCUGUGCGAGUCACAGCCUCUCCUGAUCAGGUCACGGCCUCUCCUGAUCCCAGGCCAGUAAUAGCACCACCGGCUGCUCACACGUUUGUGGCUUUGUGAUUUGUUCCACUGACAAAUGUUGAUGGAGUAUCUGUUAUGGGCUGGGCUCAUGUUCAGUGUGCGAGGGUUACAAAACAGAACACAAAAAACAAACAUUCCUGUGCUCUUAGAGGUUACCUCCUGGGGCAGGAGGACCGAUGAUGAGCAAAAUAAUUUUAAAAGAUACAGUGUGUUGUAGCUAGGCAUGGUGGUACACAGCUGUGGUGCCAGCUACUCAGGAGGCUGAGGUGGGAGGAUCGCUUGAGCCUGGGAGGUCAAGACUGCAGUGAGCCAAGGUUGUACCACUGCACUCCGGGCUGGGUGACAGAGGGAGAUCCUGUCUCAAAAAGAAAAGAAAAGA
rnacentral:sRNA from 1 species